UCCGUAGGUGAACUGCGGAAGGAUCAUUA
rnacentral:rRNA from 4 species